rnacentral:lncRNA from 1 species
AGGAGUGGGAGUAUAUAGAAGGACAUAAGGAUAUUAACAAGGUUGUGAUAAUGGAGGACUACCUGUCCGAUACUGUAAUUGGUAAGUCAAUAUAAAUUCAUUGUAAUCUUUUCCAAAAUACUGUAGACAAUAAGUCCAAAGAAUAUGCAUAAACCAUGGCAAUUGAGGUACUUCUGAUGUUAUUAAUGUGCUUUUUAUUCCAAAAGGUAAACCUGCUCCAGGUGGAUUUUACACGAAUAUUGUUUCACCCAAUUCUGAAACACAAGAGGAAUCUGUAAAUCAAAUUAAUGAUGUAGGAACCUCUGUGAAACGCAAAAAUUCAAUACAGUCUGAGCGUGUAACAUGCAUUUCCUCAGAAGCUCCUUCAGGUGAAGAAGUAACAGACCAUGCAUUUAUUAAGCAGGAACCAACCUCCUGGGAAGAAGGAAAUCUCACAGACAUUUCUACACCCACAAACCAUCCAUGCACUCAUAUUAAGGAGGAAUCAGCCUCAUGGGAAGAAGGGAAUCUCACAGCCAUUUAUACUCCAUCAGAACAUCCACAGAUAGAACAUCCAUCUAUUCAUAUUAAGGAGGAACCAAUCUCAUGGGAAGAAGGGAACCUUACAGAUACUGACAAUUCUACACCCACAGAACAUCCACAGACAGAUGAUACAUCUAGCGUUAUUAAAGGUUAUGUGAAAAGUAAUCCAAAUUCACCAGAAUUUACUUCAAAGGAGUCCAUAAUUGAACCUAAGAAAGUUGAUAAAUUUAUCAUAUAUACAUCGGGUACAUCUCCUCAGACUACAGAAACAAUAUUUAACUUUCCAGUUAGUCUGGAGACUUUUAAUCAUAACUGUAACUUUAAUAGUAAUCAGUCAGUUCACAAUGAAAAGAAGAUGGCACCUUCCGAAAUGGACAAAGUCUUCUUUUCGGGGUCUGACAUAUAUGAGAUUAAUAUCAGAUGUGAUAAACAGUUUUUAUGUUCUCAAUGCGGAAAAAACUUUACUUAUGUGUCUCAUCUUGUUAUGCAUCAGGCAACUCACACAGGAGAAGCAAAAUUUAAAUGUUUUGAAUGUGGAAAAUGUUUUAGCGAGGCCAGAAAACUUGUAUCGCAUAAAAGGGUUCACACCGGAGAAACUCCAUUUAAAUGCAAUGAAUGUGGAAGAUGUUUUACGCAAAAACCAAAUCUUAUUCGGCAUCGAAGGAUUCACACAGGAGAAAAAUCAUUUAAGUGCACUGAAUGUGAGAAAUGUUUUCAUCAAAAGGGUGAUCUGAACAGGCAUCAGAGGAUUCACACAGGAGAAAAACCAUUUAAAUGCCCCGAAUGUGGAAAAGGUUUUAAACACAAGCAUGAUCUAAUGAGGCAUCGGAGAAUUCACAGAGCAAAAAAUUGAUUUAAUGAAUGACAGGAAUAUUUUAAUGUACAGCUCAAAAAAGGAAAAGCACAGAAUGUGAAAAAGAUUUAUAAAGCAAAACUGUUGUCUCUGCAAGUGACAGUGCCUUCUUCCAUUACCCCAUUAAAAACCAUUAAAGCUUUUACUGAGGUUAAAUGGGUUACAGAGGUAAAUAGCUUUUUUAUUGCAUUUCUAUAUUAAGGGGAGACGAUUGUCAUCAGCUGUACAAGCCAAAAUCUGUUUGGUCAUUCCUUUGUUAGUGCCAUUCACACAUAUGAGGUACCAAAGGGGUUAAUUUUCACAAAAUGCCAGACAUGUCAUUUAAAUACAUAAUUAAAGAAAUAAAUGAAAACACCAUAAAGGACAGCCUUUAUUUAGAUGUUGUUUUACAAAAAAAAUCACAUGAUAUGGCGGGGGUAGGCAACCUUCGGCACACCUGCUGUUGUGGCCUACAUCUCCCAUGAUGCUUUGCUGGUAUUAUGGCUGUAAGAGCAUUAUGGUAGAUUUAGUCCACAUCAUCAGGAGUGCCGAAGGUUGCCGAACCAUGUACUAUGUUUUUACAUUACGGUUCUAAAUAAAUGGUUUUGUUCUAAAUAGUAUUCAGUAAAUUCACACAAAUUCAAAACCUAUGAAUGCAUUGAAUAUAGAAACUCUUUCAAGAAAAUGAUGUGCAAAGAGAGAAGGCCGUCUAUCCCUGAUUGUGGGAAGUGUUACACAGGUUGCUCAGAGUCUGACAUCGCAGAAUAAUUUCAUGUAACUCUGUUCAAUGGAGUCCCCCUUUGGUUUGUAUGGCAUUUCAGGCCGUGGCUGAAGUCUAAGUGACCCCUACCCGUACUGCUACUAUUAUACAACCUCAGUGGGAGGACAUGUCACAAGCGAGAACUCUGCUACUUGGACCCCCUUAAUACACAAUCCCCCAAUUGUUAAAAAACCUGUGAAGUUCUAUCAUAACUUUUUUUUAUCUGCCAUCUAAGAUAAAUUAUUAUGUUUAAAUUUGUAUUGCUUUUUAAGAAGUAUAAUAUAAGGGGAAAUACCCCACAAUAAAAAGCUAAUAGUAAUGUAACAGAAUAUAUUUAGUUACUCAGUGCUGUGUUUUGUAGGUGAUACUUUGCCACCUUAAGCAAGAGAUUGGAUGACGC